UCUGGGUCACCUGAAUAGAUGAUGGUGCUCCCUGUAUGCUCCCAGAAAUCCAGGGAGUGGAUGUGCAGUAGGGCAGUGAUUUCCCAGCUGGAGCUCUGGGUUCUCCUGCAGGAAUUAAACAGCUCCACCAAAUGUAAAAACAACCCCAUGUCCUAAGGCAAUCCAAGCCAAGCAGGACGUGGCAGCAUCUUUAGUGUGAUUUGUCUUAAAGAGUUGUUGCCAUGGAAACAAGGUCUCCAUCUCUAUCUGGUACAUCCUUACACAUAUCCAUAGUGAGAUGUGAGGGAAAUUCUCUUACCUCUGGGUGUCAGCGUUUGUAGUUUGCCCUGAAUCCUUUGCCUAUGCAAAAACAACAAAAAAAUUGAUUUGGGGCAGUUCUGUGUCAGUGGAAGUGCAAUUCCAGAUCUGGAAUCGUUUGUGUGUGAACUGCAGGUUAGAAAUGAUCAGCUCCUCUGUGUGAGGGCAAAGGUGGGAGGAGCAGCUCCAAAACUCCUCCAAGAUUGUUUAAAAUCUAUUAUUUACCUUUUUGGUUUUGGUACAAUAAAGAGAAAGAGAAAGAGAGCUGUUACCUGUUGUCACCUGAGUUUCAAUGUUCAGGAUACACAAAGUUCUAUUUCUUCUGUGUACAUAAAUUAAUCUAAGCAGGAAAACUGACCUGAACCAAGAUUUAUAAUGCAUGUGUAAAAUGCUCAGUUUAGUAACCAGAACAGUGUCCAUUAUUCCAGUCAAAAUGUCAGCAAAUGAGAUUAGUAAACAUUUUUAAAUUAAAUACAGAAGAAAAUCUCCACUAUAGGGUGACAUUAAGACAAAAAAGCCCAACCCAACAGCCUCUCCCCAGUGAAUCAGCAGAUGCCUGGCUCCAGGACAAUGGCUGGAUGUAGCCUGUGAUUUAUUGUGGCAGGGAUGCUGCCCACAGAGGAGAACUCAUUGUGCUCAGAAAUAAUGGGUUUGUCUCUGAGAGCCAGCAGAACCCUGUCAUCUGUCAGCCAGCAGAAAAAGAAAUAAAGCUCAGCAUUGAAAUAUCUUCUUGGAGCAGGUUGGCUGCCAGCUGUGUGUGGUGGAAAUAAGUCCUGGUAGAGGCACAGCUGAAACAGUUUAGAAUUGGGAAAACCUCGAAGUUUAGCGAUGUCUCAAAACUCUUCCCUCGCUCUCCCUUUGGAGAUGAGCAUCUUUGGAGCACCCUCAGAAUUAAAAAUGACCAGACAUCAGUGUUAUCACACAGAAAAGGAACAGUAGCUCCUGCCCUGAGGUUCUGGAUGCAUUCACUGCAGAGACAAGCAGGUGAGAAGAAAAAGGUGAUUGACAGUUAGCUCGACCAAUGUGGAUUGAGAGGUGAAAUUCCAUCCUCCAAUCCACGGGCCCCAUAGGAAAUGUAUAAAACUGAGUUUUGUAAAUAAACUCGUCCCUUUUUUCCUGCUUCGCUCA